rnacentral:rRNA from 1 species
UACGUAGGGGGCAAGCGUUGUCCGGAAUUAUUGGGCGUAAAGAGCGUGUAGGCGGCCAGAUAAGUCCGCUGUGAAAUCUCGAGGCUCAACUUCGAGCUGUCGGUGGAAACUAUCUGGCUAGAGUCCGGAAGAGGAGAAUGGAAUUCCUGGUGUAGCGGUGAAAUGCGCAGAUAUCAGGAAGAACACCCGUGGCGAAGGCGGUUCUCUGGGACGGUACUGACGCUGAGACGCGAAAGCGUGGGGAGCGAGCAGG